rnacentral:sRNA from 1 species
GCCGGGCACGGCGGUGCAUGCCUGUAAUUCUAGCUACUCAGGAGGCUGAGGCAGGAGGGUCACAAGUUCAAGACCAGUCUCAGCAACUUAGUGAGACCCUGUCUCAA